UACGGGGGGGGCAAGCGUUGUUCGGAAUUACUGGGCGUAAAGGGCUCGUAGGCGGCCAACUAAGUCAGACGUGAAAUCCCCAGGCUCAACCUGGGAACUGCGUCUGAUACUGGAUGGCUUGAAUCCGGGAGAGGGAUGCAGAAUUCCAGGUGUAGCGGUGAAAUGCGUAGAUAUCGAGAGGAACACCUGCGGCGAAGGCGGGUUGCUGGGCUGACACUGACGCUGAGACGCGAAAGCGUGGGGAGCAAACAGG
rnacentral:rRNA from 1 species